UACGUAGGUGGCAAGCGUUGUCCGGAUUUACUGGGUGUAAAGGGCGUGCAGCCGGGAGAGCAAGUCAGGUGUGAAAUGCAGAGGCUUAACCUCUGAAUUGCAUUUGAAACUGUUUUUCUUGAGUACUGGAGGGGCAAUCGGAAUUCCUAGUGUAGCGGUGAAAUGCGUAGAUAUUAGGAGGAACACCAGUGGCGAAGGCGGAUUGCUGGACAGCAACUGACGGUGAGGCGCGAAAGUGUGGGGAGCAAAC
rnacentral:rRNA from 1 species